AAGCCGGCGCAGGCCUUCGCAAGAUGGCGGCUGGAGGCAAGGGCAGAGGCCUUCAGAGCGUUUUCUUUUUCCCUUUCCUCCCUUCCUGCAAACAAUGUGGCUACAGUUUAACUGGAAGUGACAAACUGAGGAAACUGAGGCACUGGAAGAUGAAGGCUACAGAGGUAGAAAGUGAUGGAGGAGAUACAUCCAGAAGACUGCAUUACAAUUUCAAAUCAAAGCUGGACAAGUUUUUUUUUUUUUUUACACAGAUAUCACCAUGUUAGAAAAGUUGGACAAGUUUUGAAACCAUUCUGAACCUAUCAUUCCUGUCUUUCAAAUCCUUCCAAGGCAUCUUAUUAUUGAUUUGUUUCUAUAUUUUCCUCAUUAUUAAAGAGGUUGAGUAUCUUUUCUCUAGAGCUAGUUUGGGUUCUGAUUUUCUUCACUUUCGUGAUGGAGUCAUUUUAGAAUUGAAGGGCAUCAUAGCAACUGAGGCAGUGUUGACAUCAUCAAUGUUUUAGGAUUACAGGUAACCAUAUUUCCCAGUUUGCUUGGGACAAGGCCAGUUUGUACCUCUUGUCCUAGCAUUUUUUUUUUUUUUUUUUUUUUUGAGACAGAGUCUCGCUCUGUCACCCAGAUUGGAGUGCAGUGGCGUGAUCUCAGCUCACUGCAAUCUCCACCUCCUGGGUUCAAGUGAUUCUCCUGCCUCAGCCUCCUGAGUAGCUGGUAUUACAGGCACGCACCACCAUGCCUGGCAAAUUUUUGUAUUUUUAGUAGACACGGGGUUUCGCCAUGUUGGCCAGUCUGGUAUCAAACUCCUGACCUCAAGUGACGCCCUGGCUCGGCCUCCCACAGUGAUGGGAUUACAGGCGUGAGCCACCGUGCCUGGCCCUAGUAUAUUUUUUAAUAGCAUUGCAUUCAAUCUCAAAAGUGUGUGAGUUUUGAUGAAAAAUUAUAUGGUGGUCAUUUAUUAUCUGAAAUACACAUCAAAAUACCACUAUUGCCAUUUUGCUCUGGUAUCUUCAUCAGUGGGUGCAGGAUUGUCAUGAAGGCGGGGGGAGGUUGUUCUGCUUCCUUCUCUGUUGCAUCCCCAGAGCCCAGAACAGUGCCCAGCACCCAGUAAGUGCUUAAUGAAUAUGAAUGCAUCUGCACAUAAAUUCGUUUCUUGGGGCUUGGCACAUUGCCACUUGAACAAAUGGAUUCUAUUAACAAGGAGUAUGGAGCAAUGAUUUUGGGGUACACAACUCAUGGCGCCUGCCAAAACAUGCGCUUUAGAUUUUGAUAGAUAUCGUCAAGUUGUUCUCCGCAGGGGUUGAGCCAGUUUACACUCCCACCAGCAAUAUGUGAGAGCAUCUGUUUCUCUAACCUUCACCCACAUGGUGUUAUCAAAAUUUUUAUCUGUGCCAAUCUGGUAUUUUAAAUUUGCAUUUUCUUUAUUAUGGAAAGAUAGAGCAUACUUUCAUAUGUUUAAAAGCCAUUUGAAAUUUCUAAGAACUGUCUGUUCAUAUCCUCUGCCCAUUUUUUUUUUUUCAGUGAAUUACUGGUCUUUUUCUUAUCAAUCCAUAGGAAUACAAAUAGUUGUUCCAAGCUUUUCAUGCCUUUUGAGUUUGUUUCUGGUGUUGUUACUAAGCAGAAUUUAAAACAUGUAUUUAUAUUUAGCUUCUUUCGUUUUAUUGCAUCUAUAUUUUGCAUCAUGCUUAGAAAGGCUUUCCCAGAUUGUAAAAUAAUUCUCCCAUAUUUUCUUGUCUUACUUUCAAGUUUUCAUUUUUUUCACAUGUAAGUCUUGAUCUAUCUGAAAUUUAUUUUGGUGUAAGAUUUGAGAUAUGAAUAAAAUCUAAUAUUGUUU